UACUACCCCCGACAGCAGCGGCAUCCUUGUGGCGGCGGGCAUUGAUGCCGCCACAAGAUAUAGCGAAUGGCGGGAGGGUUG
rnacentral:sRNA from 1 species